rnacentral:rRNA from 1 species
CCUACGGGUGGCAGCAGUAGGGAAUCUUCCACAAUGGACGAAAGUCUGAUGGAGCAACGCCGCGUGAGUGAAGAAGGGUUUCGGCUCGUAAAGCUCUGUCGGCAGUGAAGAAAGAUAGGGGAAGUAACUAGGCAUCCUUGGCCGGCAAUUAGCUAGAAAGUCACGGCUAACUACGUGCCAGCAGCCGCGGUAAUACGUAGGUGGCAAGCGUUGUCCGGAUUGAUUGGGCGUAAAGGGAGUGCAGGCGGGGCAAUAAGUCAGAAGUGAAAGCCUUGGGCUCAACCGGAGCAAUGCAUCAGAAACUGUGGUACUGGAGUGCAGGAGAGGAGAGUGGAACUCCAGGUGUAGCGGUGAAAUGCGUAGAUAUAUGGAGGAACACCGGUGGCGAAGGCGGCUAUCUGGUCUGCAACUGACGCUGAGGCUCGAAAGCAUGGGUAGCAAACAGGAUUAGAUACCCGUGUAGUC